CUUCGAUUUGACGGCGUAAUUAGAAUUAACGAAAAAUAAAAUGGAAAAUAAUUCUACAAAAAUUAAAUUAACAAGUAUGACUGAAGAAUCUUUGCGAAGGUUAUUAAGUGAUGACGAAGUUUCUACUAGUGACGAAAGCACCGACAAAAAUUUUAUAACACGUGAUUUAGAUGCGAAAUCCUUUUCCGAGAAAAAGCUGUCUACAGACAUUUUUAUAUAUAUUAAUGAUGAAUGCUACCAAGCUCAUUCUUCAGUACUAUGUCAUCAUAGUCUUUUUCUAAAGAAAUUAUUGACCGGUAAUAGAAAGGAAAAGAAAUAUAUUAAAAUAUUAAAAUUACAACCGUCGAUAUUUGAAGCGUUGUUACACUUCAUGUAUACGGGUCAAAUUCGACUUUCCUGCAAUGUAACUUAUGAAUUGUUGACAGCUGCUAAAAAGCUGGAAAUAAAAACUGCAGUUAGAAAAAUUUAUCAGAUUAUUUCUGAAGAAUUAGAUGAAAUAAGUAAAUUGUUUUAUAUUUACGUAAUAUCAAAGCAAUGUGGAAUUCAAAAGAAAUGGUUAUUAGCAUAUGAAACAAUUCUUAAACGUUUCGAAGAAUCGGUUUUAUGUCUCGAGUUUCUAAAUCUCGAAGUAGAAGAAAUUUGUGAAAUCCUUUCUGGAGAUUGUAUAGCUGCGAGAAGUGAAAUUAUAGUAUUUUUGGCUUCUCUAAGAUGGAUACAAUAUGAUUAUUUAAAAAGGGAAAAAUAUGCCAUUCGAGUUGUGAGCUGUGUCCGAUUCUCGAUGAUGACUCUCGAUGAAAUUCUUGCCUGCUAUCAUCCACCUAUAUUACAAGAUAUUGUACACAUACCGGAGAUACGUGCAAAGUUAUUAACUUCGACAUGGUCGGUGAAUUAUGUUUAAUCAUGCCGCAAGCUUCAUUUAAACACGCAGCAUGUUUAUAUGCUGUAUGUUUCUUCUACGUAGCAGCUAAGAAUUUGGGAAUGGAGUCCGAAUUCGAACAGUUUUCGUCUCUGCCUAGGACGUAUACCGUGGGUGGAAAAAUACACCAUUUGUAUU